UUUUUUUUUUUUUUUUUCCAGUAAAAGGGUGGUCAGUCCUGAUUUAAUAUGGGAUAUAUUCAAACCCGACUGAAUCACUCCUGGCCUUUGUCAUGCCACCUGUAUCUGCCCCAAGAAUGCUGCCAACAGAAGGAAUACUGGUUACUCCCAGUCUCCUGGAAUUCCUCCAAAAUAUUUUACAGAGCCAUACUUCCAAAAGCUGAAGUUUUUGGAAAGUGAUUGUCAUGGUACUUACUGAAUGACAAUAGUGUCUGUCUAUAAUUAAACUUGAAAUAAAAAUAAAAGCCUUUAUGGGAUUUGAGUGAAACUUAGAAGUUGGGCCAAAGGCACAGAAAUACAUGAUAAUAUCAUUCAAAAGAUUUGUUUAAAUAAAUAAUUCAUAUGUGAUUCUACUGAGUGAUAAGUGCUAAUUAUAGAUUCACUCUUUCAAAUUCUAAACAAAUCCAAGAUGAGCAAGAUAUUGUCUUUAAAUACUAAUAAUCAAUUUAAUGUAUAAUUCAUUUACUUCUCAAAUUAUGUUUGAAUGCUUUGCAAUAAUUAAAAAAGCAUUCCUAAAGUACCAGUAAGACCCCUUUGAGGCUAUUGUACCACCUGAGAAAAAUUAGGGUUACCUUGAUAAAGGCAGAGAGGAGCAUAAUUUAGCGACAGUAGAGGAAGAAGGGCCUCUGUUGAGAGGAAGAAGGGUUUAUUGAGUAGACUGACAUGGGAGGUUUAUGGAGAUCCUCCAGAACUAAAAGAAAAAUAGAACAUAGUCUUGGCCCAGCUGAAGCUAUAUAUUCUGCUGAUUUAUGUUUAGGACAGGCUUGCUAUUUGCUUCCACCAAGGUGAAUAAAAAACGAACCCUGUCAUCUGGUGGAUGGGAUCCACUUUUUCACCUGAAUACUACAUAUCACACCAACCACCCCCCUUUUUUUAAAUUAUUUCAUAAAUUCCUUUAAUGAACAGUAGCUCAUCCUUAAGACAACAGUUCUUUAACUGCUAGCAAGAUUGCUUUCAAAAUACUUUAAGGCACUGAAAUAGACACAUACAUAUUUUCUACACAAUUAAGUAUAAUGAAAAGUAUUCUGAAUAAGUAUGUAAAAUAAGAUCACUUUUAUAACUUCAAUAAUGUGUAAUUUAACCAGUAAAUUAGAAUCUGUAAAAUUAGAUAUGUACUUCUAUAUAUCAGCCCUUAGAAUGAUUAUAAACUGAUAGCAAUGCCAGUUUUGAAACAGCUACUUAGGUCAAAUUGUAUUCCACAUCUAACAUGCUAGGUUAUUUUCAAGUUUGCCUUCCCUUGCUAAAUUCACUUUGUUUUCUAAAAUCAACAUGUUUUGGGUAUUCUACAAUUUAAUUUACAAACUUCAAGUUUUAUCAGAUGGCUCUCACUUUAGAAAAUCUUUAAGAAUAUCACUGACAUUAACGUUUUCAGUUAAAAAAAGUAGGAUUAUUGCUGAUGACAGGUCUUUACGGGAACUUCUCACUGCCAUGUAUUCUAAAGGUACACACAAGAAAACCUCUAAUGUGUCUUCUAGCUAAUAAUUACUACAAGCUGGAAAAUCCACAAAGGAGGCUUUUGUGUAUGUAUAAGAAAAAUAUUUCCAAAAAGAAGUCCCUGUAUAGAAACACUGUUUUUAUACAUUGAAUUUAAUGUAUAAUUUUUAGUUAAAUCUAAUGUUUAUCUCCCCUUGUUUACUUUGUAUUAUAUGAUUAAUUAUGACUUUACAGGAGUUAAUUAAAAUUCUCCCACUAUAUAGUGUAACAUCUGAGAAAAAAGUCUCUGGAAUCUGCCUGAUUUCAAAUCCCUACCUGUAUUACUUUGACCAAAUUCCUUAACAGUAGAAGCUCAUUAUCUUCAUGUACAAAACUGGAAGUAAUACAAAAUGAGUAAAUUAUGGACUCUGAAGAAAAUACCUAGUCUUAUUACUAGUGCUUCCUACAUAAUUUGCCUGUGCCUGAGUUUUCUCAUCUAUGAAGUGGCAAUAAGAGUACCUAGCUCAAACUAUCCCUGAGGAAAGCAGGAUUAUCUAAAGUACAUAUUGUGCUAAAUGGCCUUCCAAAAAGAUAAUAUAAAAUUUUCACUAGCCCUAGAUGGAGUUUCCAUUGUGGCUUAGCAGGUUAAGAACCCAACACAGCGUCCUUGAGGAUGCAGGUUCAAUCCCUGGCCUCAUUCAGUGGGUUAAAGAUUUGGUGUUGCUGCAAUCUGUAGUUAGGUGACAGAUGCAGUUCAGAUCAGUGUCGCUGUGGCUGUGGUGUAGGCCUGAAGCUGCAGCUCCAAUUGAACCCCUAGCCAGGGAAUUUCUGUAUGCCGCAGGUGUAGCCAUAAAAAAAAAAAAUCAUUGUAAGUAUGAAGACCAGGACAUAUUUUUAUUGCACCCACUUUUUGAGGCACAACCUCCUCUGAUUUUGAACCAACUAGAUAUAGUCUAUGCUCAUCAAAGAUAUUUUGUAAUUCUGUGCUUGACAUUUGCUAGUAUGGAGGAACAAUGGGAAAGCACAUACUUCUCAUGUGAGUGACUGCCAAGCAUCAUUUAAAUACUCUUCCACAUUGCCAGUCAAUAAUUUGCCUUCCCAGCUGCUUUUGCAGCUAGGACACAAGUAGAACGAGUCUCACACCUGUGCGAGAUCUCAGUUUAUAAGAGAGCAGUUUGGUAAAGGAAACACCCAAAAGAAUCCCCUUUUAUGAAGAAUAUCAAGGAGAGUGAAAUUGAUUCACUUGAGGAAGCCCCUGGUAUCACCCUUCAACAUCAUGGGUGUGAGUUGCUGGUAGGGUUCUUAGUUCAACAACUCCCACAGCUUUCAUACAUUUUUCUUGGACAUGUAGCUUCUGUCUCUGAUCAUUUGGCCCUCUUGGAAAUUCUCUAAGCUAUCAAAUAUCCUUUAAUAAAUUCCAUUUCUGGGAGUUCCUGUCAUGGCUCACUGGUUAACGAAUCCGACUAGGAACCAAGAAGUUGCGGGUUCGAUCCCUGGCCUUGCUCAGUGGGUUAAGGAUCUGGCAUUGCUGUGAGCUCUGGUGUAAAUCCCACGUUACUAUGGCUCUGGCAUGGGUCAGUGGCUACAGCUCCGAUUAGACCCCUAGCCUGGCAACCUCCAUAUGCCAUGGGAGCGGCCCUAGAAAAGGCAAAAAAGACGAAAAUAAUAAUAAUAAAAAAAAAUAAAUUCCAUUUCUGUUUAAAUGAGUCAGAAUGGAUUCUGUUGAUUGCCACUAGAGACUCUGACUGAUACAGGUGAAGGAAUCAGAUGGGCCACCUCUUCAGGGUGAGGAGCUAUAUUUCAGACCACGAGCAAAGGAGAGAAGUCCAUCAUGUUAAUCCCAACCCUGCCUCGUUUGAGUGCAGCUGUGAAAUCAGAUCACAGCUUGUAUCUGAACACAAGCUUGCAUCUGGAUAUUUACUUGUAUUUUUUAAAGGAAAAGCAAUUUCCUCUUCUAAAAUAUUACAGUAGUCCCCCCUUAUUUUCAGGGGAUAUAAGACCCCCAGUGGAUGCCUGAAAUUGUGCAUAGUUUUUCCUAAACAUACAUACCUAUAAUAAAGUUUAAUUUAUGAAUUAGGUACCGUAAAAAAUUAACAACAGCAACUGAUAAUAAAAUAGGACAAGUGUAAUAAUACCAUAAUAAAAGUUAUGUGAAUGUGGUUUUUCCCUCUUUCAAAAUAUCUAAUUAUACACAUUGAUUGUUUUUUCCAUCUUAACUAAGUACUUAUCAUGCUCUGUGCCCAUGCUUUCUAAGGUGUGAGAUGCAAAAACAAAACUAGCUUGAAUUUCUUUUUCCUUCUUCACAAUUUCAUGUUUGGAACAUUUGUUCUUACCAUAGAGCUUAGCAACCUCAGGACACAUUAUUUCCACUCGGACACACACACACACACAGACACUCCUUAGGCCUAGAAUUUUCAUGUUUUCACUUAAAGGAAGCACUUUAAGGCUUCUCUUUGGCAUAUUCAAAUUGCCCCCAUCACUCCUCUUGUGCUUUGGGGACGUUAUUAAGUAAAAUAAGAGUUACUUGAACACAAGCUCUGUGAUAAACAUGGAAGCUACUCAGUGACUAAUGGGUAGAUGAUUCACCUCCUGGGUGGGCAGCGCGGGACAGUGUGAGAGUUCAUCAUGCUACUCAGAAUGGCGCUCAAUUUAAAACUUAAGAUUUGUUUAUUUCUGGAAUUUUUCAUUGAAUAUUUUCAGACCAAGUUUGACCACAGUAACUAAAACCAAGGAGAAUGAAACAGCAGGUGAGAGGGUACCAUAGUACUUCUGCUUUCAUUUAGAAUAUUAAGCAAUUAAAAAUGAGGGUGAAAGAGGAAAAAAAUAAGGCAGUGUAAUUAUGUGCGGAAGUAAGAUUUGUUGAGUUUAAUCAAGGGUAUUUAAAGGUUACCCAGGAAAAGUUUCUUCAACCUUAGCACUAUUGACAUUUUGAACUAGAUAAUUAUUUAUUGUGGAUGGGACUGGUGUCUCUCUAUUAAAUGUCAGUAGAAGCCUUUCCCUAGUUAUUACAGCUAAAACUGUCUCCACACAUAGCCAAAUAUUACCCGGAUAGUGAGGGGGCAAAAGCUGAGAAACACUGAUAUAAGAACAAAUAUUUUAGUCAAGUAGGGGAAAGAGUAGUUAGGAUUUGUUGAUUCUCUUGUAGUUUGCUCAUGAGUCCUCUAUUUAAAUAUUUAGGCAAUGAUUUGGUCAGAUAAAACUUACAAGAUAUCAGGAAAGGUAAGAAGAAGUUCACUGAAGCUCUUUAACAGUGGAUUCAAUAUAACUGGGAGUUGUGUGGUAGGCAGCAUUUGAAGAGUCUGGCAGUAGGGAAUAACGAAAAAUAAUAACCGAGAGAGAAUAAUUAAGAAAGGCUUACAGGAGUAGUGACGGUAAUCUUUUAGCAACAAGAAUACUACCUCUUGUCAUUAUAAUCUUGUAUUUUGAACUUUUACUCCUGUAGACAAUUCUAUAAUAGAAAACAGUUAAAAAUGUGUAUUGUUAUUUCACAAAAUAUCAAGUCUAUACAUAAAAUGCAUGUAUUUAUAUAUAUUACAUAUUAUCUACAUGUAUGUAAUAUAUAUAAAUAUGUACAUGCAUAUGCACACAUUUAUUUAUGGUUCAUAUAUAGAUAGACCUCUUGCAGUUUUGUGAAAGACAUUUCUUUUUAAAGUGCAUCAUAUUCAAAUACUUUCUCUAUCUUCUUUUGAACAUCCAAAUUGGUCAUUUUUUUCCAUUUUUUUUAGGGCCAAACCUAUAGCUUGCGGAAGUUCCCAGGCUAGGGGUCGAAUCAGAGCUGCAGCUACCAGCCUAUACCACAGCCAC
rnacentral:lncRNA from 1 species